rnacentral:lncRNA from 13 species
GUUUAGGCUACUUUGUGUGCCUGAGUGUAAGGGAGCGUGUGAGUUCAUCCUUGUCCUCACUCAACCCAGUCUAAUCUAAUACAAGGUAAUGUGAUUGGGAGAUGCACUAAAGCGUUUGACACUCACUACUAUUUACAUGAAGAUGUGUUUAGACCAGCGAUGUUCAACUUGUGGGUCACGGGAGUCUUCCUUGUCUGAGUAAAGAAAAAAAAAAGAAAAAAAGAGUCUGAACUUUAACACUUAAACCAGGUAAAACAAUUCAAAUGAAUUCCUACUUUUAAAUAAUUUAAUCUCAGAAAUGUUUUUCUGCAAUCACAAUACUUUUAAUAUAGAACUAUUAACAGCGCCAUUUUGGUUGAUUUUGUGGUCUCAAACUAGUGAGUCUAUUAACAUUCUUCAUCAAGAAUAUGGGCAAAAUUAUAUUAUUGACAGUGAAUGAGAUAGGAAUGUUGUUACCUUGUUUUCCAGAUUGUAUUUUGGCGAUUAUUUUUCCCUGAUGCGAAUAUUGGGUCGCAAAUUGAGAACCACUGGUUUAAACGACUCACAUUAGCCACCUGUCCUAUGGCUGGUGACGAUGGCACGUGUGUCCUACUGUCGGCCUACCUUUUUUUUCUUCCAGAAUUCGAUCUCUGGAACAGAUAAGUCCAAAAUCACCAGUGAUUCUCUCACAAUAUGUUCAUCAUAUCCCCCAAACCCCUCCCCAAAUUAAAUAUGGUACUGUACAAAACGUUCUUAUUUUGGGGUCUGGAUUCCCAGCCUAUAGCAGUAUCCUAACAGUCCGUGAAAACACCAAGCCUAGCCUACAGAGUGCUAAUCUUUAUCACCAAACAUGACUAAUUCAUAGGGCAGAUAUAAAAGGUCUACUGCUGCACAAUUAUUGUUUUAUCCACAGCACACCAUCAUCCAUCUAUUAUUUGUCAUCUAUUUUUUUUAAUCAUCAUCCAUCUUUUUUCAAUAUUUUUUUCUUUCUUCCAAUCAUCCAUCCAUCUGUCUGCAGGUCCGGUCGCAGCCGCUCAUUAGCCGGGGUCGCUGCAGCAGCGCGCUCCGUUCGUUCCUGAGCUCCUGCAUUCUUCCUGCACCGGAGCGGUGGGUUGCGCGUGCGCGAGACGGCGGCAGCAAGAGCGCUGCUCGUUUGACAGCGGCUCGGGAAAAGGGAGCUGGUGCUAGAACCGGAGAACGGAGCAGAGGACCACAGGCUGUGAGGCUGCAGCAGGGAACGAGUCAGAGCACUGCCCGGAGACAGGAGACAAAAACCAACUCAUCCUCUUCUAUUCCUACAGCUGCGAGAAGAGAGAAAACCCUGUCCACGUUUGCUUUAACAGCUGACUGACUGGUGUGGUGGAUACCCUGCUUGACCCCCACAUAGUCCUGAUUGUGGAGAGCUCUGACCAGGGGGGAAGAUUUUUAACGUGACACGCCGGACCAUGGACAGGAAGAGGAAAUGGAUGCUGAGCAGCGGUGCUUUGCUGGUGAUAUUCCUUGGUCGCAUGACCACAGCCUUAGAAGUUCCUCUUGACCGUAAGUACAGUAGGAUAUGGUGACUGUAGAUCACAGUAUUGAAUGGGUACUGUAUUAUUUAGUUACUGGAGUUAUAUGUUUUCAGAUUUCAUGACAUUACAGGUUACAAGUUAGUAUAUAGAGGGUUUGAAAGCAUCUAGUCAAUGAACCAUAGAUACAGUAGCUUCCUUCCAGUGACUUGCAUCUCAACAACACUGCAUGGUAACAUGAUGUGCAUGUUGGGACAGAUCUCACAUGAUGAUUUAGUUCAACCCCAAUGGAGAGGAAUCUUCUAGUAUUGUCUUGCCACGUUGUUUGCAUCCCAAAUGGCACCCUAUUCCCUUUAUAGUAAACUACUUCUGACCAGAGCCCUAUGCACCCUGGUCAAAAGUAGUGCACUACAGUGUAUAGGGAAUAGGCUGUCAUUUGGGACUCAGCCAUUACCCACAUUAUCUUUAUCUGCCUGUUGACUAAUACUUAGCUUUCCUCACCUUCCUCAACGUUUUUAUGGCCGUUCAUGGGGGACAAAAAGCUAAGGUUCUGGAAGGAUGUAAGUGAUGGGUCCAGGACUCACUGCUGUGAGAUGUGCUGUGGAGUGAUGGAGCGUGGAGAUCUUACUGUUGUGUGGAUUGGAGUGACGUCGCUUAAAUUUGCAUGUAGCUAUUUUGGCCCCUGUGUUUACAAACAAGCUGUUUAUUGAGGUUUGUGAUUUCUUGUUUGUUAUUGACGUUUGUACUAUUUCAUUGAAUGGGAAUACAAUGAUGGUCUAUAGGAAUAAUAAGAUGAAGUGAUGAUGUACAUGUAGCAUGUUGUCUAGCUGUCUAGUGGUCCACUAGACAAUGUGUUGUGGUUGAGCAAUACAGGAAGUGUCUGCUGCAUCUUAUCCUGCUGAGUGCAUGCUCUUUACUUUUCCUUCCAUUUGAUCUAAUGCUGGCUAACGUGUUGCUGACGUGUUGCUGACGUUUUGCUAACGUGUUGCUGACGUUUUGCUAACGUGUUGCUGACGUGUUGCUAACGUGUUGCUAACGUGUUGCUGACGUGUUGCUAACGUGUUGCUAACGUGUUGCUGACGUGUUGCUAAUGUGUUCCUAACGUGUUGCUAAAGUGUUGCUGACGUGUUGCUAACGUGUUGCUGACAUUUUGCUAACGUGUUGCUCACGUGUUGCUGACAUUUUGCUAACGUGUUGCUAACGUGUUGCUGACGUGUUGCGUCUGCUUCUCUCUCUGAGUGAGUGUGUGUGUGCAAAUGUGUGGGUGUGUUUGUGAGUGUGUGUUUCUCUCUCUCACUGGGUGUGUGUGUGUCUCCCUCUCUCACUGGGUGCAUGUGUGUGUGUGUGUGUGUGUGUGUGUGUAUCUCUCUCUCACUGGGUGUGUGUGUGUGUGUGUGUCUCUC